GUAGGUGACAAGCGUUGUCCGGAUUUACUGGGCGUAAAGAGCGCGCAGGCGGUCGUUCAAGUCGAGUGUGAAAGCCCCCGGCUCAACUGGGGAGGGUCAUUCGAUACUGAUCGACUCGAAGGCAGGAGAGGGAAGCGGAAUUCCCGGUGUAGUGGUGAAAUGCGUAGAUAUCGGGAGGAACACCAGUGGCGAAGGCGGCUUCCUGGCCUGUUCUUGACGCUGAGGCGCGAAAGCUAGGGGAGCAAACGGGAUUAGAUACCCCGGUAGUCCUAGCCGUAAACGAUGGACACUAGGUGUUGGUGGUAUCAACCCCACCAGUGCCGAAGCUAACGCAUUAAGUGUCCCGCCUGGGGAGUACGGCCGCAAGGCUA
rnacentral:rRNA from 1 species